UUCAUGUGAUCCAAAGGAAUCAGGGCUCGUUACCUAUCACACUCAGUGUUACAAUAAAGUUAAUGUUUACCUGACCGGAAUACUUACUAUGUGUGGACUUUUUGCUGAGUAUCCUCAGUGAAGUCAGAAGAAUGUGAAGACAGAGGUGUGCCUGGAGAUACUGCUCCCUGAGCCCUUUAGAACUUACCAGGGAUUAGGACGGCCCACACUGUGUACGGCACAUGCUUUCUCCUUCAGUCUAAGUUACAACACCCUUUCAUCCCCAACAGGAGCAAACUAGACUGUAACGCAAAGCAGUGGAGACUUUUUGCUGAUAUCCUUAAUGAUGCAAGCAUGUUCCUCGAGAUUGUGGCUCCUGUACUCCCAGUUGGUUUCACCGUGACUGUCAGCAUCAGCAACUUGGCCAGGUGCAUCGUGAGUGUGGCUGGCGGGGCCACUCGGGCUGCGCUGACCAUGCACCAGGCCCGGAGAAA